rnacentral:misc_RNA from 1 species
AGCAGCCGCGGUAAUUCCAGCUCCAAUAGCGUAUAUUAAAGUUGUUGCAGUUAAAAAGACUCGUAGUUGAAUUUUGGGUCUGGCCGGGCGGUCCGCCCUCUGGGUGAGCACUGUUCCGACGCCGGGCCUAUCCUUCUGGUGAGUCGGCAUGUCCUUUAUUGGGUGUGUCGGGGAACCAGGACCAUUACCUUGAAAAAAUUAGAGUGUUCAAAGCAGGCGUAUGCUCGAAUACAUUAGCAUGGAAUAAUGAAAUAGGACGCGUGGUGCUAUUUUGUUGGUUUCUAGAACCGCCGUAAUGAUUAAUAGGGAUAGUUGGGGGCAUUAGUAUUCAAUUGUCAGAGGUGAAAUUCUUGGAUUUAUUGAAGACUAACUUACUGCGAAAGCAUUUGCCAAGGAUGUUUCCAUUAAUCAAGAACGAAAGUUAGGGGAUCGAAGACGAUCAGAUACCGUCGUAGUCUUAACCAUAAACUAUGCCGACUAGGAAUCGGGCGAUGUUAUUCUACAUGACUCGCCCGGCGCC